GACGAACGCUGGCGGCGUGCUUAACACAUGCAAGUCGAACGGUGACGGAGCGCUUGCUCUCCUGAUCAGUGGCGAACGGGUGAGUAACACGUGGGCAACCUGCCCCAGACUUCGGGAUAACGCUUCGAAAGAGGGGCUAAUACCGGAUACGAACUCCCUGGGCAUCCAGGGAGUUGGAAAGUUUUUCGGUCUGGGAUGGGCGCGCGGCCUAUCAGCUUGUUGGUGAGGUAACGGCGCACCAAGGCGACGACGGGUAGCAGGCCUGGGAGGGCGACCGGCCACACUGGGACUGAGACACGGCCCAGACUCCUACGGGAGGCAGCAGUGGGGAAUAUUGCGCAAUGGGCGAAAGCCUGACGCAGCAACGCCGCGUGAGGGAUGACGGCCUUCGGGUUGUAAACCUCUUUCAGCAGGGAAGAAGCGAAAGUGACGGUACCUGCAGAAGAAGCACCGGCUAACUACGUGCCAGCAGCCGCCGUAACAC
rnacentral:rRNA from 1 species